rnacentral:rRNA from 1 species
GUUGAACGCUGGCGGCAGGCUUAACACAUGCAAGUCGAGCGGAGAGAGGUAGCUUGCUACUGAUCUUAGCGGCGGACGGGUGAGUAAUGCUUAGGAGUCUGCCUAUUAGUGGGGGACAACAUUUCGAAAGGAAUGCUAAUACCGCAUACGUCCUACGGGAGAAAGCAGGGGAUCUUCGGACCUUGCGCUAAUAGAUGAGCCUAAGUCGGAUUAGCUAGUUGGUGGGGUAAAGGCCUACCAAGGCGACGAUCUGUAGCGGGUCUGAGAGGAUGAUCCGCCACACUGGGACUGAGACACGGCCCAGACUCCUACGGGAGGCAGCAGUGGGGAAUAUUGGACAAUGGGCGGAAGCCUGAUCCAGCCAUGCCGCGUGUGUGAAGAAGGCCUUAUGGUUGUAAAGCACUUUAAGCGAGGAGGAGGCUACUUAGUUAAUACCUAGAGAUAGUGGACGUUACUCGCAGAAUAAGCACCGGCUAACUCUGUGCCAGCAGCCGCCGUAA